GUGGGGAAUUUUGGACAAUGGGCGCAAGCCUGAUCCAGCAAUGCCGCGUGCAGGAUGAAGGCCUUCGGGUUGUAAACUGCUUUUGUACGGAACGAAAAGACUUCUUCUAAUACAGGAGGUCCAUGACGGUACCGUAAGAAUAAGCACCGGCUAACUACGUGCCAGCAGCCGCGGUAAUACGUAGGGUGCAAGCGUUAAUCGGAAUUACUGGGCGUAAAGCGUGCGCAGGCGGUUUUGUAAGACAGGCGUGAAAUCCCCGGGCUCAACCUGGGAAUUGCGCUUGUGACUGCAAGGCUGGAGUGCGGCAGAGGGGGAUGGAAUUCCGCGUGUAGCAGUGAAAUGCGUAGAUAUGCGGAGGAACACCGAUGGCGAAGGCAAUCCCCUGGGCCUGCACUGACGCUCAUGCACGAAAGCGUGGGGAGCAAACAGGAUUAGAAACCCUAGUAGUCC
rnacentral:rRNA from 1 species